GGCCCCGUAGCUCAGUUGGAUAGAGCAGCGGUUUCCUAAACCGUUUGUCGUGAGUUCAAUUCUCGCCGGGGCCACCA
rnacentral:tRNA from 2 species